ACUGCCUCCGGACUCCCUCUGGCUUCGUGCCUAAUACAUGCAAGUCGAACGAACCGCGACUAGGUGCUUGCACUUGGUCAAGGUGAGUGGCGAACGGGUGAGUAACACGUGGGUAACCUACCUCAUAGUGGGGGAUAACAGUCGGAAACGACUGCUAAUACCGCAUAGGACAUAGGAUCACAUGAUCCAGUGAGGAAAGGUGGCGCAAGCUAUCGCUAAGAGAUGGACCCGCGGUGCAUUAGCUAGUUGGUAGGGUAAAGGCCUACCAAGGCGAUGAUGCAUAGCCGACCUGAGAGGGUGAUCGGCCACAUUGGGACUGAGACACGGCCCAAACUCCUACGG
rnacentral:rRNA from 1 species